UCGCUGUAGGUGAACCUGCAGCGGGAUCAUUA
rnacentral:rRNA from 6 species